rnacentral:rRNA from 1 species
CCCUUAGAUGUCCGGGGCCGCACGCGCGCUACACUGAAGGAAUCAGCGUGGCUUUCUCCCUGACCCGAAAGGUUGGGAAACCCGUUGAAUCUCCUUCGUGAUAGGGAUUGGGGCUUGAAAUUGUUCCCCAUGAACGAGGAAUUCCCAGUAAGCGCGAGUCAUAAGCUCGCGUUGAUUACGUCCCUGCCCUUUGUACACACCGCCCGUCGCUACUACCGAUUGAACGGUUUAGUGAGGGCCUCGGAUUGGUCUCGGCCCGCUCUUUACCGGGCGGCGCCGUUGGUCGAGAAGACGCUCGAACUUGAUCGUUUAGAGGAAGUAAAAGUCGUAACA